rnacentral:rRNA from 1 species
UACGUAGGGGGCUAGCGUUGUCCGGAAUCAUUGGGCGUAAAGCGCGUGUAGGCGGUCCGGUAAGUCCGCUGUGAAAGUCGGGGGCUCAACCCUCGGAUGCCGGUGGAUACUGUCGGGCUUGAGUACGGAAGAGGCGAGUGGAAUUCCUGGUGUAGCGGUGAAAUGCGCAGAUAUCAGGAGGAACACCUAUGGCGAAGGCAGCUUGCUGGGACGGUACUGACGCUGAGACGCGAAAGCGUGGGGAGCAAACAGG